GGGCCUGUAGCUCAGUUGGUUAGAGCGCACGCCUGAUAAGCGUGAGGUCGGUGGUUCAAAUCCACUUAGGCCCA
rnacentral:tRNA from 1 species